rnacentral:rRNA from 1 species
UACGUAGGGUGCAAGCGUUGUCCGGAAUUAUUGGGCGUAAAGAGCGUGUAGGCGGCCAGGUAGGUCGGUUGUGAAAACUGGAGGCUCAACCUUCAGAGGUCGACCCGAAACCAUCUGGCUAGAGUCCGGGAGAGGAGAGUGGAAUUCCUGGUGUAGCGGUGAAAUGCGCAGAUAUCAGGAAGAACACCCGUGGCGAAAGCGGCUCUCUGGAACGGUACUGACGCUGAGACGCGAAAGCGUGGGGAGCGAACAGG